CUGGCCUUAGGCAGCCGGGCAGGAGGCCAGAGGACAGGCUCCCGGGUGUCUGAGAAAUCCUGCCCGGGAGUGAAAGGAGCCGGGCCCAGAGGUCUCCCGGGUCACUGCUCCUGCCCCCAGGUCUCCCGGACCUUGAGGCGCAGGCAACAGGCGCCCACCUCCCUCCCGGGACG